rnacentral:tRNA from 1 species
UCCCUGGAGGCUCAGACGGUAGAGAAUCUGCCUGAAAUGCAGGAGACCUGGGUUCGAUCCCUGGGUUGGGAA